rnacentral:tRNA from 1 species
UUAUAAUUAGUUUAAGGUGAAAAACAUUUAGUUGCAAACUAAAAAAUACUUAAAGUAUUAUAAU